GAUACCUGUUUGACAUGUAUUCUUCUUUUUUUGUUUAGUUUCAUGUAGAAGUUUCUUUCAACCAGCGUUUAUUCUAUUCGAUAAUGAAAACACUGAGACGAGAGGAUCCUUAUCCUCAAUAUCCAUGAUAAAAGAAUAAUACUGCAUAUGACAUCUUGAAUAUAUUCUAACUCUUAUUUAUAAGGCCAGAAGAAGAGAUGACAAAGAUAGAUCAUUUAUUUUAUAGUUUGCCCCAACGGUCCUCCUCCAUGUCAAAGUUCUCUCAUUUCUCCAUGGACUGCUUCACUCUUGAAGGUCACAAAGGAAGUGAUGGUGUGCAUAGACAUGGGCUGAGGAAUGUGCAGAAUGGAGAGAUCAAAGACGGACCAACUCGGCCGAGUGCUCCUCGGGGCCCUCCACCUCAACACAAUUAAUAGGAUAGGAGAAGAUGGAAGAUCGUUAUUUUCCUUCAUCACUACGGCUUGAACUUAUAGAUGGAAAUUUCCUUAGUAGGUACAGAACAAGCAGGCAGAAGUAUGUUAAGGGUUGUAAUAUGUGUAUAGUGAUAUAGAGAAGCAAAGAAAUAUGAGAAAGCUACCUUACAAAUCA